CGUGAGACAGUUCGGUCCCUAUCCGCUGUGCGCGUAGGAAUAUUGAGAAGGGCUGUCCCUAGUACGAGAGGACCGGGACGGACGAACCUCUGGUGUGCCAGUUGUCCUGCCAAGGGCAUGGCUGGUUGGCUACGUUCGGAAAGGAUAACCGCUGAAAGCAUCUAAGCGGGAAGCCUGCUUCGAGAUGAGUAUUCCCACCCCCUUUGAGGGGUUAAGGCUCCCAGUAGACGACUGGGUUGAUAGGCCAGAUGUGGAAGCCCGGUAACGGGUGGAGCUGACUGGUACUAAUAGGCCGAGGGCUUGUCCUCAGUUG
rnacentral:rRNA from 1 species